rnacentral:rRNA from 1 species
UACGUAGGUGGCAAGCGUUGUCCGGAAUUAUUGGGCGUAAAGCGCGCGCAGGCGGUUCUUUUAAGUUUGAUGUGAAAGCCCACGGCUCAACCGUGGAGGGUCAUUGGAAACUGGAGAACUUGAGUACAGAAGAGGAAAGCGGAAUUCCACGUGUAGCGGUGAAAUGCGUAGAGAUGUGGAGGAACACCAGUGGCGAAGGCGGCUUUCUGGUCUGUAACUGACGCUGAGGCGCGAAAAGCGUGGGGGAGCAAACAGG